rnacentral:rRNA from 1 species
GAUGAACGCUAGCUAUAGGCUUAACACAUGCAAGUCGAGGGGAAACGGCAUUAUGUGCUUGCACAUUUUGGACGUCGACCGGCGCACGGGUGAGUAUCGCGUAUCCAACCUGCCCUUUACUUGGGGAUACCCCGUUGAAAGACGGCCUAAUACCCGAUGUAAUUCAUUGAUGGCAUCAGAUAUGAAUAAAAGAUUUAUCGGUAAAGGAUGGGGAUGCGUCUGAUUAGCUUGUUGGUGAGGUAACGGCUCACCAAGGCGACGAUCAGUAGGGGUUCUGAGAGGAAGGUACCCCACAUUGGAACUGAGACACGGUCCAAACUACUACGGGAGGCAGCAGUGAGGAAUAGUGGUCAAUGGGCGCAAGCCUGAACCAGCCAAGUAGCGUGCAGGAAGACGGCCCUAUGGGUUGUAAACUGCUUUUAUACGAGAAUAAUUUGAUGCACGUGUGCGUUAUUGCAUGUAUCGUAUGAAUAAGGACCGGCUAAUUCCGUG